rnacentral:lncRNA from 1 species
ACACUUCCAGGAGGUCUUUAAAUAUUUCAGUGUUUUAAAUAAAUUCAUACCCCUCCCCUCUCGGGGGGAGGGGGGAAGGAGAAAAAGGGAAAAAAAAAAAAUCUGGAGAAGCAGGAAGAAGGUGGUCUUGUCAGAAUCAGACCCUUGUGAACAAGCUCUUUCCUCAUUUGAUUUCACAGCCAGUUAUGUAGUCAGCGUUGUUAGGGUUGAAUUUUGGCCUUGCUUACACCUGUAAGCUAUACAGAAUCUUUUCAGCUCAGGGCUGGACACUGAACCCACCAAAAGAUUCUGCUGAAGCAGCAGCUCCAAACUCUCCAAACACAAUGUAGACUCAGAAGCCAGCAUUCAGGUAUACCUGUUCCUGGUAUUCAGGUAUUUGAAUGUCAUCCCUGGGAAAAAAAAAAAAAAAAAAGUCAGGACUAGUGCAAAAAAUAUAGUUAGCCAUUAGAGAAUCUAAGGAAAACAAUGAUCUGCAUCCAAUGGUUCAAUGACCAAUGACUGAACAACCAAUGAGACCAGUUAGUAGCAGUGCUCCUAACUAGUAUGUUGAUAUCGCCACUGACUUGUUCCUGAACUCUUCAAAGAUUCUAAGUCCUCCCUUGACAACUUUUCUUGAUGACUUUUACAGGACAUAACUGUCUUUUACAGCUAAGGACUUUUCUUCUUUUUCUUGUAGAUCAAAUCAACUGCUUCCUGACUUCCUCCUUGUGAAUAUGGAAAAUAAUUUGAUUUAUUUCAGGACUGUUAUGUUUUCCCUCUAAAUAUACUGUUUUCUAGACUAAACAAAAGCAAUCGUUCAGCCUUUUUGUGUGCCAUGUUUUCUAUACAUUUUAUCAUUUUUAUUGCUGUUCUCUGGACUAUCUCCAGUUUGCCUAGUGUAAUGCUGAAAACUAAACACAGUUCUCUAGUUGAGGUCUUACCACUCCUAUCAAUAUGUCCUAGCAAGAUCUUUCUUUCUUGACAUUUUUAUUUGAUUCUGCUAUGUGGAGCAUAGUAGUCUUAGGGCUGAGGAAUUGGUAUUUGUAUCUUCACUUGCUCAAACAAGAAAAUAUGGCAAAUAAAAGGACUGGUUUGUGAAAUGUCCUGAUUCA